rnacentral:rRNA from 1 species
AGCGAACGCUGGCGGCAGGCCUAACACAUGCAAGUCGAACGGACCUUUCGGGGUUAGUGGCGGACGGGUGAGUAACACGUGGGACCGUGCCUUUAGGUUCGGAAUAGCUCCUGGAAACGGGUGGUAAUGCCGAAUGUGCCCUUAGGGGGAAAGAUUUAUCGCCUUUAGAGCGGCCCGCGUCUGAUUAGCUAGUUGGUGAGGUAAUGGCUCACCAAGGCUACGAUCAGUAGCUGGUCUGAGAGGAUGACCAGCCACAUUGGGACUGAGACACUGCCCAAACUCCUACGGGAGGCAGCAGUGGGGAAUCUUGCGCAAUGGGCGAAAGCCUGACGCAGCCAUGCCGCGUGGAUGAUGAAGGUCUUAGGAUUGUAAAAUCCUUUCACCGGUGAAGAUAAUGACUGUAGCCGGAGAAGAAGCCCCGGCUAACUUCGUGCCAGCAGCCGCCGUAA